UACGACUACAUAUCAGGCAUAUCAAUAAGCGGAGGAAAAGAAACUAACUAGGAUUCCCUCAGUAACGGCGAGUGAAGCGGGAAGAGCUCAAAUUUGAAAUCUUCAAGGUUUUACCUUGACGAAUUGUAGUUUAUAGAAGUGUUUUCUGUUGGUGUUUUGGUAAAAGUUCUUUGGAAUAGGACAUCAUAGAGGGUGAGAAUCCCGUAUUUGACCAUUACUUCCAGCGUUGUGAUACACUUUCAAAGAGUCGGAUUGUUUGGGAAUGCAGUCCAAAAUGGGUGGUAAAUUUCAUCUAAAGCUAAAUAUUGGCGAGAGACCGAUAGCGAACAAGUACCGUGAGGGAAAGAUGAAAAGAACUUUGAAAAGAGAGUUAAACAGUACGUGAAAUUGUCAAAAGGGAAGCGUUUGACACCAGUGUUGUUUUCUCGAAAAUCAAUUAAAAAGAGUUGGAUUUUGUAUUGUUAAGACCUUAUCAGCUUACUGUACUUUUUUCUUGCUCUUUUUAAUGCACUUUUCGUUUAACAAGUCAACAUCAAUUUCUUUUGUUGUAAAAGGGUCAUUGGAAGGUGGCUUUCACUUCGGUGAAAGUGUUUAUAGCCUUUGGCUUCUACAAUCGGAGAGAUUGAGGUCUGCAGCGUAGAUCCUUCGGGGUUAGAUACGUAGAUGCUAAGUUAUAGUUUUUUAUAGACAACUUGUUGACUAUGAUUAGUCUUGUAGCUUACUCGCUUAUGCUAUUUUACCUACGCUUAGGAUGUUGACGCGCGUGUGUGCGUG
rnacentral:rRNA from 1 species